rnacentral:rRNA from 1 species
CAGUCGCCGCGGUAAAACGUAGGUGGCAAGCGUUGUCCGGAAUUAUUGGGCGUAAAGCGCGCGCAGGUGGUUUAAUAAGUCUGAUGUGAAAGCCCACGGCUCAACCGUGGAGGGUCAUUGGAAACUGUUAAACUUGAGUGCAGGAGAGGAAAGUGGAAUUCCUAGUGUAGCGGUGAAAUGCGUAGAGAUUAGGAGGAACACCAGUGGCGAAGGCGGCUUUUUGGCCUGUAACUGACACUGAGGCGCGAAAGCGUGGGGAGCAAGCAGGAUUAGAUACCCCUGUAGUCCCUGUCUCUUAUAC